ensembl:lncRNA
AAACAUUGUUAGAGGAAGAGACAACAGUAGAGGCUAAAUCUUUUUUUUUUUUAUAUAUAUAUGUCAGCUACAGCCUCGAUUGGCUGGCCUGUUUCUACUUAGUUGAUCAAGAAAAAGAAAUAGCUAACAACUUAAUGAUUGUAAAUAUGCAAUUAGCAGCUGGAGUAGAAGUAAAAGCAGAAAAUGUCAACUGUCAAGUAGCUCCACUGAAAGACACAUGAUGCUUCAAGCUAAGACAGAAAGACAAAAGCGUCUACCAACAAGGAUGAAGGCUGCAAAAUCUCUCUUUAAACAUUCCAUUAAUCUCUUCCAAGAAAUAAAUACAGUCAAUACAUCCAGGAAUGAGGAAUCCACUAUCAAAACUGCAGUUCACUUUUGCAAUAAAGCUCUGUGCAGUAAUGCUAUACUCCAUUACCAGCAGACAUUCUGGAUCCCAUCUCUGUUAUAAUUCACAACAUAUAGCCUUUUAUGUAACACAUGGCUGGCCAUAUCACAGUAACAUUACUGAUUUCCCAAUAAUAUACAUGUGAAAAGAGUGCAAUGCAUCACUGUACUCCAGAGAAUGUUUUCCUUCUAGACCAAACUUCCAGGUAUGUUUUCAAAGAGUAGAUUUCUCUUAAGUUCUCUGUAUUAAAAACAUAAACGCAUCUUGUCUCUCACAUGUGACAAUUCUACUUUAGAACUGUGGAGGAGGAAUGCUGAAACAAAAUAAGAGGGACAUGCAGAAAUAUUAACACGUUAUUUCGUAAGACUCUAUAAGAGGUCUAAAUAAUCAGAGAAGACUCAAUUCUCUAGACACUCCUAGUUACCCAUGCUACGAGGGCAGGUUUGUUGUGAGACAAAAUGAUAAGAAUAAGGCUCUUAACAUACAAAUUUAAAAACUUUGCCAAACCAAGAUAUGCAGAGAGAUGAGCUCUUACCUGUACAGCUGCCCUCUUAGACCAUCAUAUUAGCUCUGGCUUAACCUUCAUUUAUUUUUCUGCUGGCUUAAUAUUGUUAAAAAUAAAAAGGUUGUUCAGUGUGCAGUUAAAUAUUAAAAGGAUGUGGGAACAAUCUGCCUACCAACUAUAACUUAAGCUUUUGGUGGCUUUCUGGCCAAGGGGCUAGUGACUCAGUUCCUUUUCCCAUCUUCAUUUUUUUUUUUAAUAACCUCUAAAGAGGUAAAACAGGUGCUUUUGUUAAUCUCACAUGGCAAAUUUCUACACUCUACUAAUUAUGCACAGUCAAUUUUAUACCAAGUUUUCACAGCUAUUAAUAUUUCAGUUUUGCCUGACGUAUUAGCUAACACAUCUGUUACAUUUGAGGUAUAUAAUGUAAAAAUGACAUAUAUGUUCUGACAUCUGAUAGGAUGACACAUUACGAAGUGUUUUAAAAAGCAUCUGUACAGUUUUAGACAGCUCUAGUAUUGAUCAAAACAGAAAAGAAAUGCACUGAUUGUGUCCCCAUUAUAUUAAAUAUAUAAAUU